CAGGCCUAACACAUGCAAGUCGAACGCCCCGCAAGGGGAGUGGCAGACGGGUGAGUAACACGUGGGAACGUGCCCUUCGGUUCGGAAUAACUCUGGGAAACUAGAGCUAAUACCGGAUACGUGCGAGAGCAGAAAGAUUUAUCGCCGAAGGAUCGGCCCGCGUCUGAUUAGCUAGUUGGUGGGGUAAUGGCCCACCAAGGCGACGAUCAGUAGCUGGUCUGAGAGGAUGAUCAGCCACACUGGGACUGAGACACGGCCCAGACUCCUACGGGAGGCAGCAGUGGGGAAUAUUGGACAAUGGGCGAAAGCCUGAUCCAGCCAUGCCGCGUGAGUGAUGACGGCCUUAGGGUUGUAAAGCUCUUUUACUCGGGAAGAUAAUGACGGUACCGAGAGAAUAAGCCCCGGCUAACUUCGUGCCAGCAGCCGCGGUAAU
rnacentral:rRNA from 1 species